rnacentral:rRNA from 1 species
AUUGAACGCUGGCGGCAUGCUUUACACAUGCAAGUCGAGCGGUAACAGGCCUUCGGGUGCUGACGAGUGGCGAACGGGUGAGUAAUGCAUCGGAACGUACCCAGAGGUGGGGGAUAACGCAGCGAAAGCUGUGCUAGUACCGCAUGUGAUCUGAGGAUGAAAGCGGGGGACCGAGCAGCAAUGUUUGGCCUCGCGCCUUUGGAGCGGCCGAUGUCGGAUUAGCUAGUUGGUGGGGUAAAGGCCUACCAAGGCGACGAUCCGUAGCUGGUCUGAGAGGACGACCAGCCACACUGGGACUGAGACACGGCCCAGACUCCUACGGGAGGCAGCAGUGGGGAAUUUUGGACAAUGGGCGCAAGCCUGAUCCAGCAAUGCCGCGUGCGGGAAGAAGGCCUUCGGGUUGUAAACCGCUUUUGGCAGGAACGAAACGGUGUCCGCUAAUACCGGGCGCUAAUGACGGUACCUGCAGAAUAAGCACCGGCUAACUACGUG